UGAAUGCAGGAUUCUUCGAAGCAGCGAUCUUGAUGCUGUCGCCGGUCUUCGGAUUGCGGCCGGUGCGCUCGGCGCGCUCACGGACCUGGAAGGUACCGAAGCCAACGAGGGUGACGGCGUCGCCCUUCUUCAGUGCCUUGGUGAUU
rnacentral:misc_RNA from 1 species